UCAAAGAAACAUGGAUAAAAUGCAAUCAGAAAAGUAAAAAUGGCAACAGAGCUGUGGCUGGGGGAUAGAAAAGAAAGCUGAAUCACGCCACACUGGAAGCAUUUUCAAAGGGGAAAACUAUGAGCCCAAAUGCCGAGGAGGCUGAAUUUUCUCUAUCAACACGCAUUUAGCGGGGGAAGGGAGGGAAACUCAGACUUCCCAGCAGCAUGGCAGGUCUUGGCACCCACCUCGGUUCCCCUGCUGAACUUCCACAAAUAAACAUUCAAAGCAGAAGGGACAGAUUUGCUUCUCAGCAAGAUUUCAAAGCUAUGCGCCAGAGUUGGAGAGAAAACAGGAAGGAUGCCCACCUAGGUCACCAAUCUGUGUGUGCGUACUUGCAAGUGAGCAUGGCAAUAGUGUGCAAAUGAGCGUACCCCAGGCAGGAAGGACCAGGAGGGGUAUCCAGUCCUGAUGUUCAACGACCAUGAGCAACGACAAAGAGGCGAGCUCCCAUGUUGGACAGUGCCCAGAAAGAAUGUUGCCAUCAUGAUGGACAAUUCUGGCGACAGUGUUCAUAAGAAGCCCCAGAGUGGGGUGGAGGUGGGCAUACCUCCAGGAGCUAGAAGACAGGUGAGCCCACGAAGCAAAGCAUCCCGGGAAGUGGGCAGGGAGGGCUGGGUCAUCUGGAACAUGCAUCUGCGAAAUGCAGAUGGCUCAGAGUUUGCUAAUCAGGGGAGUAUUCAGCUCAUUGGAGCCAGCAGCAUGAAAUAAAGGCACAAUCUAGUGACCCCGGCCUGCAUCCUCCAACAUGAAA